rnacentral:rRNA from 1 species
CUGGCCGGCAUAGGUCGACCCGUGAUCACCGGGAACGAAUGCUGCGGCGACGUCGUCGCGGGCCCAUAUCGCUCCGACCGGCAUCCCGUUGGCGAUGCCCUUGGCCAUCGUGACCACGUCGGGGCGCACGCCGGCGUGCUGGAAACCGAACCAGGCACCGGUGCGGCCCAUGCCGGCUUGCACCUCGUCGAAGAUCAACAGCAGACCGCGUUCGUCGCAGAUCUGCCGGACGCCGCGGAGAUAGUCGUCGUCGGCCGGGUUGACGCCACCUUCGCCUUGCACCGACUCGAGGAUGACACCGCCCACCUCGGGGGUGAGGCUGCGCUCGAACUCCGCAAGGUCGUUCCAGACGACGUGCCGGAACCCCUCGGGCAACGGCUGGAAGGGCUCGUGCUUCUCGGGCUGACCGGUUGCGGCCAACGACAUCAGGGUGCGGCCGUGGAAGCUCCGUAGGGCACUCACGACGCCGUGGCGACCCCGGCCCUGGUACUUGCGCACGAGCUUG